rnacentral:rRNA from 1 species
AUGCCGGGCUGCCUCGCCGGCCUGGCCCCUCCGCCGCCCGCCGCGCUCCACCUCCUGCUCCGCGGCCGCAGCCGCCGCAUGGCCUUCUCCGCGGCCGCGCCGUCCCGCGCCUUCCAGCUCCGCCUCAACCCGCUCACCGGCGACUCCGAGUGGCUCGUCGUCGACGAGGCGGAGGGGGAGGAUGUGGGGGCGGCGCCUCCCCAGACGCAGAGGCAGCUCCUCGCCGCCACCUCCUACCUCGACAUGCUCAACGACGCCGCCCGCAACCGCGCCUACCGCCGCGCCAUCGACGCCGCCGUCUCCGACCCCUCCGCCCGCGUCCUCGACAUCGGCUUAGGUGCUCCGAUGCAACCUCGGCCGCUGGAUUGUGAUCCAAUGGGCAGCAUCAUGGGAUGUGGAUCAAAGCAUUAUUUCAGGAAUGUUCAGGGCGUUUUCUGCAAAACAUUGAUGCUGGAUUUGUCUUUUUUGUUUCUUAAUGUGAGUGAAAUUCUUGACUCUGAGCUGUUGGGUGAGGGUCUGAUACCUACUCUACAGCAAGCUCAUGAUUCGUUAUUGGUGAAAAAUCCAAAGACAGUCCCAUAUCGAGCAACUACAUACGGGCAGUUAGUCGAAAGUCCGUUCUUGUGGAAGAUGCAUGAUUUGCACAGCAAUGAAGCAAAUGCUGCAGAUGGUGUCUGGCUUACUCCUGAUGGGAUGGAAAAUAUUGUUUCUGUGAAGCUGCAGCAACAUGCAAUGCAAUGUGACCCGUUAGAAGAUGAGAUACGAUUGCUGUCAGAACCCUUCAAAGUUUUUGAAUUUGACUUUUCGGAACGACCAGAGAGCCAGCGUGAAAAUAAGAUCACGAUUAAAACAACUGGUGAUGGCUGUGUUCAUGCUAUUAUUUCAUGGUGGGUGCUUCAGUUAGAUUCUGCUGGGUCAAUCUUCUACUCCACAGCUCCCAAAUGGGUGAGGCAAUCAAGUAUCAAGGAUCUACCACAAUGCGCCGAUGACACGAAGGAUUGGUGUGAUCACUGGAAGCACUGUGUUUGGUUUACACAAGGAAGGGGUGCUCCUGUUAUGAAAGAUCAAACUCUUUCUCUAAGGGCUAGUCAUAACCUAACUAGCAUCUCUUAUCAGCUGCUAAACCCCAAUGAUGAAGCAUGCAAUGGAAACUUGAAAGCUGACCAUCUAACAUUGUUGCCAGAAAGGAUAGCACUUUAUGGUGAUAUAUAUUGGAGAUCAGCUUUGAUAACAGCAAUUAAAAAUGCUCUGAGUGACAGAUCUCCGCAAACCUGUAUCGUGGCUGAUGACAGUAUAUUCUUAGCUCUCUUAGUUUCUUCUCUCUCACCAUCUUCAAAAGUCAUUGCCAUGUUUCCUGGUCUACGGGACAAGGGUGCGACAUAUCUCCAAGCUGUUGCAAAGGCAAACAAUUUCUCCAUGGAUCAAAUUCAAGUGAUUGGUAAAAGAGCGGCAUCUCUUUCAACGGAUGAUUUGGAGCAUAAAAUUAACUUAUUAGUGGGCGAACCAUUUUAUUGUGGCAGUGAAGGGAUGCUUCCAUGGCAAAACCUGCGUUUCUGGAAUGCAAGAACUCUGUUUGAUUCAAUGUUAUCUGCGGAUGCACUCAUAAUGCCUUGCAAAGGAGUAUUAAAAUUAUGCGCCAUGUCUCUUCCGGACUUGUGGAAGAGCCGUCGCAGCCUUAAAGAUGUCGAGGGGUUUGACCACUUGGUUGUUAACGAGACUCUAGGAGCCUGCGGUGAUCUUCCUGGAGAGCAGCAAGGUCCUUGUCUUCCAUAUUAUGUAUGGCAAUGUGGUUAUACGAAGAAAUUAAGCAAAGUGUACUCCCUCAUGGACUUCAACUUUUCUGAGCCUAUUCACUCCUGCUUCGGGAAAACAAAGAUCGAGUUUGCCGAUGCUGGCACUUGCCACGGCUUCGCGGUUUGGAUCGACUGGGUGCUCGACGAGAAGAACUCCAUCGUGAUAAGCACGGGACCAGAUAGCAGAUACUGGAAGCAAGGUGUGCAGUUGCUGAGCAAGCCUGUGGAAGUGAGCCCAGCCGAUGACUCGGCCGCGCUCGUGGAGGCGUCCUUCGAUCCUGCCUCUGGCGACAUCGUGUUUACUUCCUCCUUCUCUUGA